CAGACUGUUCGUCGUUUACCGAUUUUUCAGUUUAUCGGUAAACGAAAGGAAAAUUAUUACUAUGUUAAAUAUUUUUGGAAAUACUUUGGAAAACCUAACCAUAAAUACCUAUAUUAUUUUUAGAAUUUUUCUAGGGUAUUUUGGUUGAUUUAUGAUUUUUGGUUAAUUUUUAAUGAUUUUACCUUUGGUAAAUAGUUAAAAAUUCAAAAUAAAUGGUAGAUGGUAAAAGUAAAUUAUGGAAAAAUAAUUCUUAAACCCUAAUUAUUAUUCCUGAGUGCCCUGGGCCAGAUUAGGUCUUGAUUGAUUCGAGUUUGGCACCAUUUGAUCAUUAUUGAGUUUUAAAUCAAUUUAUUUCAUUUUCAUGGCAAACAUCUUGACCCUACAUUCAUCAUCAAGUUUCUCUUUACUCAUUCAGUGGAUUUGGCUGAUUCAAGGCUUUAAUUAAUCCUUCCCACUUCCUCUAUCUUACCCAACAAGUUUCACGUUCAGAUCAUCUCCCAAUCUCUCUAACCAAUCUCACUAAGUUGCCUACUUGAUCAUGUUAUAGAAAGUUCACCUAAAACACAAAUUUAUUUUUCUAGCCUUCAAAUUCAAAAUUGGGCUUCGAUGUUGUGUUCAUAAUCAUCCUAGGAGUCUCCCAUAAAAAUUUCAGAUCAAUUGGAGGUCCCUAACACAAAAUCUGCUCAAAACAUCAAACUGUUCUUGGUGUUCUUCAGUUUUUCCAAAUUCCGAGCUGAAUCCAUUGCUGGUCUCCUCUCCCUCUCCGCCGCCAGCAUCGCCGCCAGCUCCGCCGCGUGGAAGCCAUCGCCGGCGAGGAGCUUCUGGAAUUUCCAACUCGCGUUUUAGCGCGAUUCAAGGUGCGGAUGCGGAUGAACAGAAGUGAUGAAUUGGUUUUCUGUUAUGGCGGAUUUGAAUAAAGGACUUAUUAUUUUAUUUUUUUGUUGUUGUGUAAUAAUUAUAACUUAUUCGGGAUACUGGGUAUGUAAUAUUAUUAUUGUAUCGUGUUAAGUUUCUCGCGAGGUUUUUGAACUUAUAA